ACAUUCACACAAUAUUAUUUAUUUAGAAGAAGUUGUACUACAUUAAUUUAAUUUGUGUGUUGAACAAUGGAAAAUUGAACAAAAUUGGCUUAGAAGCAUUACACACCACACGGCCUAGGAGCCAUUGGAAAUUCUAUUUUGCAAAGUUUUAUUUUAAGUUUAUAUUUUGUAAUGUGGUGUUAAUUUUUGUAGUGUCAUUGCUGCAACCAAAAGAACUCACGGCCAAUUCAUGCUAAAUGCCUAUCCAUUCUUUGCUAAAGAAUUGAAGCAAAAUGAUGAAGGGGACCACCUUACAAUUCAUCUCACGGCACAUGAAGUCUUAUUUCUCUUUGCAAGUGAAAUUGAAUGGGAGACAAGGAAGGGACCACCAAGUUCCAAGUAGGGGCCACGGUUUUGUCAAGAAAUUGGAAAGAGAAUAACAUGAACAAAUCACAAAACAAACAGCCCAUAUAUAUUUUAUUAAAGCUUGAUUGAAAAAGGAAGCCACUACCCCAUGGAAGUUCACGGCCAAGAGAAGUUUCAAAGUGCAGAAUUUUAUUUGAAGUAGAAAGGGGACCACCAUGUUGCAACUCACGGUCUUAAGGAAGUGGUCUGGAAACCAUACACACGACACUUAUCAAUGGCUAAAAAAUGAGACAGCUGCCACACUCACACAACCUUCUUUGCUGGAACGGAAAAUAACACCAUAAAGCUUGAAGGAUUCUUUCAUUAAAAAAUGAAGAGUAGCCCACGGUCUAGCAGCCAAGAGAAGGAGGUGCACACAGCCAGCUGGUCCAGAAGAAGAAGAAGACACCCCAGCAUCAGCAGCUUCAACCUUCCAACGUUCAACACCUUCACGGAGCAGCCACCAUGUAGAGCAGAAACUCCUCCGAUUCUUCUGGGUACAGCAGCUCACACGGGAAGCAGAAGCGUCCAGCUUUGGAGCAACCAUCCGGCAGCACCUAGCAACUACGUCCAGGGGAGAAACGGUGCAGCUGUCACUCCCAUUCUCGGUGCUGGCCUUUGCUCAAUGGUGUCACGUUUUCAUUGAUGAUGGAGAGCAUCAUUUGUAUUUCUUUUAAGCACACAUUCACGGCUAGGAAGAUGCUUCACGAUCCAGGAGUUUGGAGCUGGAGCAGCCAUCACCGAGAAGACCACUUCACCUUCUUGCAGUAGCACACGGUGGCUGCUGGAAUUAGAAGAGGAUGUCACGGCUGUUUCUAGAAAUGUUGGAAGGCAGCUGGGAGAAGAGAUGGAGGUUACGGUUUGGUGAAAGGCAUGGUAAUAGCUUACAAUCACGUCCAUCCAGAAAGAAUGGGAGCAGCCACGGACAGCAGCCAUGGAGGAGAAGAAUGGUGUGCAACACGAAGAAGAGAAGAAAAGGCAGUUGGGACAUGCUGUAACAGCUGCAACGUAAUUGAAGGAGAAGCAAUGAUCUUAGAAUGGAAGCACAUGCAGGAGCAUCACGUCCAGCCACAUCUAGAAGCACACUUUGAAUGGAGAAGAUCACGGUUCUGCUUGCACAUCAAAAGGAAGCUACAGGAGUUUGGAGUGGGUCACAAGGUUGAAGGAAUUUCUGAAAGCCUAAGCAAAAAGACAAACAUGGAGACCCUCAUCCUAUUUUCUCACGGGAACAAAUUGGGAGAUGCUCACGGGAGGAGACUAUUGGUGAGAGAAUUGGCUAUAAAAUGGAGAAGCAUCCAGGAGAGAAAACUCAGUAGAUUUAGGAGUAGGAGUAGUGUAGUGUAGAGAGCAAUUUACGUGAGCUUUCAUUUUUCCCCCUCCCCCUUUGGGGAGGUUUUGGGUUUGUUUUCCAGAUUGUUUUCCAGUUUGUUUUUCAGUUGAAUUUUAAUUUGCAGUGUGUUUUUCAGUCAA